rnacentral:rRNA from 1 species
UAAGUUGGGAGGAAGGGCAGUAAGUUAAUACCUUGCUGUUUUGACGUUACCGACAGAAUAAGCACCGGCUAACUCUGUGCCAGCAGCCGCGGUAAUACAGAGGGUGCAAGCGUUAAUCGGAAUUWCUGGGCGUAAAGCGCGMGUAGGUGGUUCGUUAAGUUGGAUGUGAAAGCCCCGGGCUCAACCUGGGAACUGCAUCCAAAWCUGGCGAGCUAGAGURCGGUAGAGGGUGGUGGAAUUUCSUGUGUAGCGGUGAAAUGCGUAGAUAUAGGAAGGAACACCAGUGGCGAAGGCGACCMCCUGGACUGAUACUGACACUGAGGUGCGAAAGCGUGGGGAGCAAACAGG